rnacentral:rRNA from 1 species
AUUGAACGCUGGCGGCAGGCCUAACACAUGCAAGUCGAACGAGUGGCGGACGGGUGAGUAAUGUCUGGGAAACUGCCUGAUGGAGGGGGAUAACUACUGGAAACGGUAGCUACUACCGCAUACCAUCGGAUGUGCCCAGAGGGGAUUAGCUAGUAGGUGGGGUAACGGCUCACCGAGGCGACGAUCCCUAGCUGGUCUGAGAGGAUGACCAGCCACACUGGAACGGAGAAACGGUCCAGACUCCUAGGGGAGGCAGCAGUGGAGAAUAUGGCACAAUGGGAGCAAGCCUGAUGCAGCCAUGCCGCGUGUGUGAAGAAGGCCUGCGGGUUGUAAAGCAGUUUCAGUGUGGAGGCGUUACCCGCAGAAGAAGCACCGGCUAACUCCGUGCCAGCAGCCGCGGUAAUUC